UUGAUUCAAUUCAUCAUUAGUCAUUUUUAAUGUUAGAUAGGUGUACCAUCGCAAUGAUAGGUACAAUAUUCAACAGCCUUAGUCAGUGUGAAAAAUGUUACAAAUUGCUAAACAAACUGCAGAUACACGAGGAAUAGGUAAUUAAUUAUCAUCUGCGUACUUAAUCGAAUACUGUAAUUUAUAAUACUCGUUGAUACGAUUUAAUGUACUAUUAUGUAAAUUAUUUUAUUCGUGACAGUUUUAAGUGUAAUGAAAACAAAAGGCCUGUGCAAUACACGUCUCUCCCAAAUUUCUACGAUGCAAAAAUGAUUAUAAAAUGAAAUAAAACCAGAGCUUUGAUCGUAGUCUUUUGAAAACAUUUUUGUCGUGAAAAUCGUACUUUGGCAUAAGUGGUCAUUCGCAGCUUGUCUCAUUGUCAGUGAAAUUCAAAUUCUAUUUCACUACACGUGUUUAAGAUGGUAGUGAAAGUUAUCGGUGUAUGUUUGACAUUAUCAUGCAUUUUUCCAUGCGUAUUCGGUGAAUUAAAAAUAACUGAAGAGCAAUUUUCUCAAUUCAAAGGGACAGAUCCCACAAAAUUCUGUGGAUGCAAACAAAGUAUGGAAAAAUUUUGUAAUGCGGUUGUUAAGUUAGGUAAUGCCAACCAGAAACCCGAAGAGGGACCCUUCAUGAAUGGUUAUCCAGAAUGCCAGUGCACGCAGGUUAAAGUAGAAAAAAAAAGCGGUAAAGGUACAGAUUUGAUAUCAAUCAAUGUAAUCGUCUGUGCAUGGGAAAAAGAAAAAUUGUAUCACGUUUACGGUAAAGGGCAGUCGUCAGAUAAUGUGAUGUCUUAUAAAACUGACGAUAAAGGCAUGUGUAGUUUUUGGGCUGAGUAUCCAUACACUGGCAAUUAACAGAGAAGAGAGAAGCGAAAACUGUGAAGAGAAAAUUAGAUACUCGAAAAUUUCUCGACUGUGAAUGUUUCUUCUCAUAUUUUUUUUGACCAUGUUUUUCAAUUGUCAAAUUUUCUCAUAUUUUUUCACAUUAAAAAAUUUUUUUUAUCAAG